rnacentral:rRNA from 1 species
AACGAACGCUGGCGGCAUACCUAACACAUGCAAGUCGAACGAGACCUUCGGGUCUAGUGUCGCACGCGUGCGUAACGCGUGGGAACCUGCCCUUAUGUUCUGAAUAACUCCCCGACAGGGUUUCUAAUACCGGAUAAUGUCUUCGUACCAAAGAAUUAUCGUCUUUUGAUGGGCUCGCGUGGGAUUAGCUAGUUGGUAGGGUAAAAUCCUACCAAGGCGACGAUCCAUAGCUAGUCUGAGAGGAUGAUCAGCCACACUGGGACUGAGACACGGCCCAGACUCCUACGGGAGGCAGCAGUGGGGAAUAUUGGACAAUGGGCGAAAGCCUGAUCCAGCAAUGCCGCGUGAGUGAUGAAGGCCUUAGGGUUGUAAAGCUCUUUUACCCGGGAUGAUAAUGACAGUACCGGGAGAAUAAGCUCCGGCUAACUCCGUG